UCCUCCAUAGCUCAGUGGUAGAGCGUCCAACCAGCACCUGGAAGGUCAUGGGGUUUCGGUUCCCGUUGGGGAGCUGCAGGAA